UGACUGCAGGCGGUUGCACGUGCAGGCACAAGCAGGAGACGUCAAUGUUGUUUCUCAAAGCCAAGGCAAAAAUCCUCUCACCCCUCUCUCACGGCUCACUCUCCCUCUCUCCAUAGUGACACACUCUCUCUCUCACCGGCGGCAGCGAGCACCGGCUUCAUCAACGCUUCAUCACCCCUUCGUCAAUGGUGCGCUGUCGGGAAGCUCGUGCUCGACAAUGUUGCUGAGGGCAACUGCUCGAAGAGCAUGGUGGUCGUAAAGGCAACUGCUCGAAGGGCAAUCAGGUGCCAUAUGCGUCUAGUCAGGCCGAAAAAUUACUACCAUUUUCAUGAGGACGUGGGUCCAACACACUUCUACAAGGUAAUCCUAGUAUAUGUGUUGGAGUUACUGCUGAUCCCCAAUGGCUUCUGUAAGCACAUGACCAACAUCCCACUAGAAGUCGUUCUUAAGAUGAACACCGGCUGCAAGUGGAGGGUCACGCUCCAGAGGGUCAAUCGUAAGAUAGCCCUUGAUAAAGGAUGGGCUGGAUUUGCCAUAGCUCAUCAUAUUCAGAUUGAUUACCUCGUCGUGUUCAAGGUGUUGAUUGUGGACACCUUCAAGAUGAUCGUAUUUGACAUUUUUGGCGCUGAGGCGGAAGGCAAGUGCAAGAAGCACCAUGAAGCACUUGCCUUGUUCUGGGAAGUUUAAUGUGUUUUCCUUAUUUUGUCUACCUGCGUGGUCAAUAUGAAUGUCUGAUUAAGACUUGUUAAUGACUUAAUGUAGUACCCAUAAUGUAGUGCAAAUGGUUGUGUUUUUUC